UAGGGAAUCUUCCGCAAUGGGCGAAAGCCUGACGGAGCAACGCCGCGUGAGUGAUGAAGGUCUUCGGAUCGUAAAACUCUGUUAUUAGGGAAGAACAUAUGUGUAAGUAACUGUGCACAUCUUGACGGUACCUAAUCAGAAAGCCACGGCUAACUACGUGCCAGCAGCCGCGGUAAUACGUAGGUGGCAAGCGUUAUCCGGAAUUAUUGGGCGUAAAGCGCGCGUAGGCGGUUUUUUAAGUCUGAUGUGAAAGCCCACGGCUCAACCGUGGAGGGUCAUUGGAAACUGGAAAACUUGAGUGCAGAAGAGGAAAGUGGAAUUCCAUGUGUAGCAGUGAAAUGCGCAGAGAUAUGGAGGAACACCAGUGGCGAAGGCGACUUUCUGGUCUGUAACUGACGCUGAUGUGCGAAAGCGUGGGGAUCAAACAGGAUUAGGUACCCUGGUAGUCCACGCCGUAAACGAUGAGUGCUAAGUGUUAGGGGGUUUCCGCCCCUUAGUGCUGCAGCUAACGCAUUAAGCACUCCGCCUGGGGAGUACGACCGCAAGGUUG
rnacentral:rRNA from 1 species